AAAACUCUUUCCCUACACGGCGCUCUUCCUGAUCACACGCUGCUCGCCCCGUUCGUAGACGAAGGAGGACUCGCAGGUCCUCCCAUGUCCACAGACGUAGGAGAGUUGUCAGACGCAGACGCUAGGCAACGCUAAUAAACAUGCAUUUUUAGGGCCCUAUCAAGUGU